rnacentral:rRNA from 1 species
UAUGAAGGGUGCAAGCGUUAAUCGGAAUUACUGGGCGUAAAGCGCGCGUAGGUGGUUCGUUAAGUUAGGAGUGAAAGCCCCGGGCUCAACCUGGGAAUUGCUUCUAAAACUGGCGAGCUAGAGUAUGGUAGAGGGUGGUGGAAUUUCCUGUGUAGCGGUGAAAUGCGUAGAUAUAGGAAGGAACAUCAGUGGCGAAGGCGACCACCUGGACUGAUACUGACACUGAGGUGCGAAAGCGUGGGGAGCGAACAGGAUUAGAUACCCCUGUAGU